ACGAAAAUCCUGGAGGGAAACAUUAUAUAGUGAUUCCUCGAUUUGAUCCAUGGCUAGCUUGGUACUACAGUGCCCGGGGUCAAAGCAUCUGUGAUAACGACCUAGUGACUCUGCAUCGUUCGAGAAUCUUUUGUGGAAGAUGCGUGGGUAUGUUUACAGCUUUUAUCCCAGGCGAUCUUGAUCUGAUGAAUCUCUCUCCUUUCCAGAUGGCUAUGAAGAAAAGAACUAAUCUGUUGUAGGAUGGUUACAUUACCACAUGGGUGAGCAUAUGUUUGUUGUUGUGAUGUGCGCAAAAACAGUGUUAAUUUAUGAUUAUGGUGAGUUCCAUCUUUUUAAUAUUUGUCAUCUCUGAAAUUACAUACAACUUGUUCCCUAAUACUGUACAAAUUUAGAAAGCGGCUGACACAUGGUUGCUUCAUGGGUGUGU